rnacentral:rRNA from 1 species
GACGAACGCUGGCGGCGUGCUUAACACAUGCAAGUCGAACGGAAAGGCCCUGCUUUUGUGGGGUGCUCGAGUGGCGAACGGGUGAGUAACACGUGAGUAACCUGCCCUUGACUUUGGGAUAACUUCAGGAAACUGGGGCUAAUACCGGAUAGGAGCUCCUGCUGCAUGGUGGGGGUUGGAAAGUUUCGGCGGUUGGGGAUGGACUCGCGGCUUAUCAGCUUGUUGGUGGGGUAGUGGCUUACCAAGGCUUUGACGGGUAGCCGGCCUGAGAGGGUGACCGGCCACAUUGGGACUGAGAUACGGCCCAGACUCCUACGGGAGGCAGCAGUGGGGAAUAUUGCACAAUGGGCGGAAGCCAGAUGCAGCAACGCCGCGUGCGGGAUGACGGCCCUCGGGUUGUAAACCGCUUUCGCCUGUGACGAAGCGUGAGUGACGGUAAUGGGUAAAGAAGCACCGGCUAACUACGUGCCAGCAGCCGCGGUGAUACGUAGGGUGCGAGCGUUGUCCGGAUUUAUUGGGCGUAAAGGGCUCGUAGGUGGUUGAUCGCGUCGGAAGUGUAAUCUUGGGGCUUAACCCUGAGCGUGCUUUCGAUACGGGUUGACUUGAGGAAGGUAGGGGAGAAUGGAAUUCCUGGUGGAGCGGUGGAAUGCGCAGAUAUCAGGAGGAACACCAGUGGCGAAGGCGGUUCUCUGGGCCUUUCCUGACGCUGAGGAGCGAAAGCGUGGGGAGCGAACAGGCUUAGAUACCCUGGUAGUCCACGCUGUAAACGGUGGGUACUAGGUGUGGGGUCCAUUCCACGGGUUCCGUGCCGUAGCUAACGCUUUAAGUACCCCGCCUGGGGAGUACGGCCGCAAGGCUAAAACUCAAAGGAAUUGACGGGGCCCCGCACAAGCGGCGGAGCAUGCGGAUUAAUUCGAUGCAACGCGUAGAACCUUACCUGGGUUUGACAUGGAUCGGGAGUGCUCAGAGAUGGGUGUGCCUCUUUUGGGGUCGGUUCACAGGUGGUGCAUGGCUGUCGUCAGCUCGUGUCGUGAGAUGUUGGGUUAAGUCCCGCAACGAGCGCAACCCUUGUUCACUGUUGCCAGCACGUUAUGGUGGGGACUCAGUGGAGACCGCCGGGGUCAACUCGGAGGAAGGUGGGGAUGGCGUCAAGUCAUCAUGCCCCUUAUGUCCAGGGCUUCACGCAUGCUACAAUGGCUGGUACAGAGAGUGGCGAGCCUGUGAGGGUGAGCGAAUCUCGGAAAGCCGGUCUCAGUUCGGAUUGGGGUCUGCAACUCGACCUCAUGAAGUCGGAGUCGCUAGUAAUCGCAGAUCAGCAACGCUGCGGUGAAUACGUUCCCGGGGCU